rnacentral:rRNA from 1 species
CAGGCCUAACACAUGCAAGUCGAACGAAGGCUUCGGCCUUAGUGGCGCACGGGUGCGUAACGCGUGGGAAUCUGCCCUUGGGUUCGGAAUAACAGCGAGAAAUUGCUGCUAAUACCGGAUGAUGACGUAAGUCCAAAGAUUUAUCGCCCAGGGAUGAGCCCGCGUAGGAUUAGCUAGUUGGUGGGGUAAAGGCCUACCAAGGCGACGAUCCUUAGCUGGUCUGAGAGGAUGAUCAGCCACACUGGGACUGAGACACGGCCCAGACUCCUACGGGAGGCAGCAGUGGGGAAUAUUGGACAAUGGGGGCAACCCUGAUCCAGCCAUGCCGCGUGAGUGAUGAAGGCCCUAGGGUUGUAAAGCUCUUUCACCGGUGAAGAUAAUGACGGUAAGGGGAGAAGAAGCCCCGGCUAACUUCGUGCCAGCAGCCGCGGUAAU